UCUACGGGGCACCUAUUGGCUCAUGUGAGCUGGACUACAAAUAUGACACAGAAUUUGUAGUUCAUCAACUAGGAAGUGAGAGCCGGGAAAAAAAAUGGACGGGAGUAAACUCCGUGUAUAGUGUUCGGUCAGAAAAAUAACUAUUGUAAGGCGAGCACAGCAAUUUGGAUUAAAAGGCUUAGAUACUUCUUGGACCCUUGGGGAUUUAUGAAAAAAUAUUGAAAACUAUGAAGCAAGGUGAAUCAGAUGAAUCAGAAAUUCCUGGCUUAAAUACCUCAUUGAGUGGGGUUAAUAUGGCCCAGAGGAACAGUCCUGGGUCUCUGCUCAUGAUGUCCUUGAUCCUGGACUCAUCCAAGAGUUCCAUGACACUCACCAAGAGCACCCGAUCCAACAACCCUCAGGUCUCACAGAGUGGCCUUUGGUGGUUUCUGUCACAUCACCUCCAAUCAUUAGAAGUGAUUCACUGGCUACAAACAUGGCCGUCAUGGACUACACAGUUCUUGUGACAAAACCCUACUGAAUCUAGUAUGGACACAGCUGCUGUUCUCACAGAGUCUUCUACAUAGAUUUUAGAUGAAAGCCACAAAGAAAGAAAUUCAGAAAGGAGCAUUUAAAUAAUAAUUAUAAUAUUAAAUAAUAAUUAAUAAUAGACUGGAGUGUGUUUGCAGACUGUGAAGGAUUUUAGUAGGAAUACAGAUUUAUUUUAUCAGUACACUGGUUUUACAUUCCACAAGUGAAAUGGAAAUUUAUCAGACUUUUUCAAUCAAUUUAAACAAAAAAAUCCUUUCUGAUAUAAAUUCUGAUAUAAGAUAUAAGUCUGAUAUAAAUUAAUCAGAACAUUGAUUGCUUUGAGAAUGAAAUGUUUUGUGUAAUGUCAGUUCCCUCAACCAUAAAUCCUGCUCUAAAGAAAGACAUGAAACCAGCUUCCUGUUCCACACCCAGAUAAACACACAGAGUCAGUUUUAAGCAGGAAAUCAGAGAGCAGUGUAGAGGAAGUGAGAUUUACAUGAAGACGGCUGAGUGAUCCUCUUUCUCCCAGAAUAGAGCAGCACUUUCACCAGAUGUUCAACUUUCUUCAUCCAAACUCACUGAAGCACAACACACAGCCCUGAAUCUACAGCUAAACACACUCUCUCCUCACACUGAUAAUGACUAUUAACUCCAAGAAAAGAACACACAAUGUCCAAAAUGAAGCUUUAUUUCAGCAGAGCAAAACUACAGGAAGAGCAACAGGACAGUGAAGAGAGUAAAGACAGAAAUGUCAGCAUUGUGUAGAACUGAAACUCUAUUGUAGAUGGAUGUGGAAGCAGCUCAGUGUUCAGUUCUAUCUUGGAGCUGUUAGCCUUAACACUGGCUCUUUCUGAACGUGACCGGAUGAUCCACGCCCUCGUGGGAGACCGUACAGACAAACUCCUCCCCCUUUUCCCAGAGUGCUUGGCUGAGGGUCAGGGUACUGCUGCGUGUGUAACCGUCCUUCUUCUGUUCUUCUGCACUGGUCAAGACCCCGUGAUUCACCGCCGAGCCGUCCACCGUCCAGCUCACCGACGCCCCCUGUGGAGAGUAGGCAGACAGCAGGCAGAGCAGCGAGGCCGAUUCCUCAGACUGGUGCAGAGAGGAGGGAGGGAGCAGAGACACGGAGGGCUUCACCGUGGGACCUUCUGUAGACCACAAACACACAAUAAACACAC